rnacentral:rRNA from 1 species
UAGGAAUGUACCUCAAAGAGGGGGAUAACCUGGGGAAACUCAGGCUAAUACCGCAUAAUCUCCGAGGAGAGAAGCUAGGGACCUGCGGGCCUGGCGCUUUGAGAACAGCCUGCGUCCGAUUAGCUAGUUGGUGGGGUAAAGCCUACCAAGGCGACGAUCGGUAGCUGGUCUGAGAGGAUGAUCAGCCACACUGGAACUGAGACACGGUCCAGACUCCGUACGGGAGCAG